rfam:Pseudomonas chlororaphis subsp. aureofaciens 30-84 chromosome, whole genome shotgun sequence.
CCCUGAAAAGCCUAAACCCACACACGUGUCGACACGAUGACCUGGGUGCCCUCAGCACAAGCUGUUGGUUGGUCAUUGGGAUACGUGGAGGCCUAAC